rnacentral:sRNA from 1 species
UACAUUAUACAGAUGUGUAGAAUAGCAAC